AUAAUCUCAUGUCUCCCGUCCUCUCUUCUUUUUCUCCACUGUCCAUUGUCACUGCUACUUUCAACUCUGUCAUUGUCCUCCCCUUACCCCGCUUUUGGUCCCAUUGUGCUUUAUACACUCUCUUUCUCUCCUCUGCCUCCUUUCCUUGUUCCCCCUCUUCCUUCCACACUCCCGUAUUCUGUUUUCUUUGUGGUCUACUCUUGUCCUCUCAACAGCCUACUCGCCCAGCCAGUACUGGGGUGGCUGGGCCCAGUAGCUCCUUGGGCCCCUCUGGAUCAGCAUCAGCCGGUGAACUGAGCAGCAGUGAGCCCAGCACCCCAGCUCAGACUCCGCUGGCAGCACCCAUCAUCCCCACACCGGCCCUCACCUCUCCUGGAGCAGCACCCCCACUUCCUUCUCCCUCUAAGGAAGAGGAAGGGCUGAGGGCCCAGGUACGGGACCUGGAGGAGAAGCUGGAGACCUUGCGUCUGAAACGCUCAGAAGACAAAGCAAAGCUGAAGGAGCUGGAGAAGCACAAGAUCCAGCUGGAGCAGGUGCAGGAAUGGAAGAGCAAAAUGCAGGAGCAGCAGGCGGACCUGCAGCGGCGCCUCAAGGAGGCGCGGAAGGAAGCCAAGGAGGCACUGGAGGCAAAGGAGCGCUACAUGGAGGAGAUGGCAGACACAGCCGACGCCAUCGAGAUGGCCACUCUGGACAAGGAGAUGGCCGAGGAGCGGGCCGAGUCCCUGCAGCAGGAGGUGGAGGCACUGAAGGAACGAGUAGACGAACUCACCACAGACUUGGAGAUCCUCAAGGCUGAAAUUGAAGAGAAAGGCUCUGAUGGGGCUGCGUCCAGCUACCAGCUCAAACAGCUGGAGGAGCAGAAUGCCCGCCUGAAGGACGCCCUGGUGAGGAUGCGAGAUCUCUCUUCCUCAGAGAAGCAGGAGCAUGUGAAGCUCCAGAAGCUCAUGGAAAAGAAGAACCAGGA
rnacentral:lncRNA from 1 species